rnacentral:rRNA from 1 species
GUGGGGAAUUUUGCGCAAUGGGGGAAACCCUGACGCAGCAACGCCGCGUGCGGGACGAAGGCCUUCGGGUUGUAAACCGCUUUCAGCAGGGACGAAUUCCGACGGUACCUGCAGAAGAAGCCCCGGCUAACUACGUGCCAGCAGCCGCGGUAAUACGUAGGGGGCGAGCGUUAUCCGGAUUCAUUGGGCGUAAAGCGCGCGUAGGCGGCGCGUCAAGCGGGACCUCUAACCCCGGGGCUCAACCCCGGGCCGGGUCCCGGACUGGCGCGCUCGAGUGCGGUAGAGGCGAGUGGAAUUCCCGGUGUAGCGGUGGAAUGCGCAGAUAUCGGGAAGAACACCGAUGGCGAAGGCAGCUCGCUGGGCCGACACUGACGCUGAGGCGCGAAAGCUGGGGGAGCGAACAGGA